rnacentral:rRNA from 1 species
UUGCAAGGUUAAGCGGAAAAAGCGGAGCCGUAGCGAAAGCGAGUCUGAAUAGGGCGCAUAAGUAACAGGUCGUAGACCCGAAACCAGGUGAUCUACCCAUGUCCAGGAUGAAGGUAAGGUAAUACUUACUGGAGGUCCGAACCCACGCACGUUGAAAAGUGCGGGGAUGAGGUGUGGGUAGCGGAGAAAUUCCAAUCGAACUUGGAGAUAGCUGGUUCUCUCCGAAAUAGCUUUAGGGCUAGCCUCGAGGUAAAGAGUCAUGGAGGUAGAGCACUGUUUGGACUAGGGGCCCUUCUCGGGUUACCGAAUUCAGAUAAACUCCGAAUGCCAUGUACUUAUACUCGGGAGUCAGACUGCGAGUGAUAAGAUCCGUAGUCGAAAGGGAAACAGCCCAGACCACCAGUUAAGGUCCCCAAAUAUAUGUUAAGUGGAAAAGGAUGUGGGGUUGCUUAGACAACCAGGAUGUUGGCUUAGAAGCAGCCACCAUUGAAAGAGUGCGUAAUAGCUCACUGGUCGAGUGACCCCGCGCCGAAAAUGUACCGGGGCUAAACAUAUUACCGAAACUGUGGAUGAACCUCUUUAGAGGUUCGUGGUAGGAGAGCGUUCUAAGGGCGGUGAAGUCAGACCGGAAGGACUGGUGGAGCGCUUAGAAGUGAGAAUGCCGGUAUGAGUAGCGAAAGAAGGGUGAGAAUCCCUUCCACCGAAUAUCUAAGGUUUCCUGAGGAAGGCUCGUCCGCUCAGGGUUAGUCGGGACCUAAGCCGAGGCCGAUAGGCGUAGGCGAUGGACAACAGGUAGAGAUUCCUGUACCAGUGCUAAUUGUUUAACCGAUGGGGUGACACAGAAGGAUAGGGAAUCGCACGAAUGGAAAUGUGCGUCCAAGCAGUGAGUGUGAGAAGUAGGCAAAUCCGCUUCUCGCGAAGCAUGAGCUGUGAUGGGGAAGGAAAUUAAGUACGGAAGUUCCUGAUUUCACGCUGUCAAGAAAAGCCUCUAGGAAGAGUAGUACUGCCCGUACCGCAAACCGACACAGGUAGAUGAGGAGAGAAUCCUAAGGUGAGCGAGAGAACUCUCGUUAAGGAACUCGGCAAAAUGACCCCGUAACUUCGGGAGAAGGGGUGCUCUAUUAGGGUGCAAGCCCGAGAGAGCCGCAGUGAAUAGGCCCAGGCGACUGUUUAGCAAAAACACAGGUCUCUGCAAAACCGUAAGGUGACGUAUAGGGGCUGACGCCUGCCCGGUGCUGGAAGGUUAAGAGGAGUGCUUAGCUUCGGCGAAGGUACGAAUUGAAGCCCCAGUAAACGGCGGCCGUAACUAUAACGGUCCUAAGGUAGCGAAAUUCCUUGUCGGGUAAGUUCCGACCCGCACGAAAGGCGCAACGAUCUGGGCACUGUCUCAACGAGAGACUCGGUGAAAUUAUAGUACCUGUGAAGAUGCAGGUUACCCGCGACAGGACGGAAAGACCCCGUGGAGCUUUACUGCAACCUGAUAUGGAAUGUUUGUACCGCUUGUACAGGAUAGGUAGGAGCCGAAGAGACGUGUGCGCUAGCAUACGAGGAGGCAAUGGUGGGAUACUACCCUGGCUGUAUGACCAUUCUAACCCGCCACGCUUAGCGCGUGGGGAGACAGUGUCAGGUGGGCAGUUUGACUGGGGCGGUCGCCUCCUAAAGAGUAACGGAGGCGCCCAAAGGUUCCCUCAGAAUGGAUGGAAAUCAUUCGCAGAGUGUAAAGGCACAAGGGAGCUUGACUGCGAGACUGACAAGUCGAGCAGGGACGAAAGUCGGGCUUAGUGAUCCGGUGGUUCCGCAUGGAAGGGCCAUCGCUCAACGGAUAAAAGCUACCCCGGGGAUAACAGGCUUAUCUCCCCCAAGAGUCCACAUCGACGGGGAGGUUUGGCACCUCGAUGUCGGCUCGUCGCAUCCUGGGGCUGUAGUCGGUCCCAAGGGUUGGGCUGUUCGCCCAUUAAAGCGGCACGCGAGCUGGGUUCAGAACGUCGUGAGACAGUUCGGUCCCUAUCCGUCGCGGGCGCAGGAAAUUUGAGAGGAGCUGUCCUUAGUACGAGAGGACCGGGAUGGACACACCGCUGGUGUACCAGUUGUUCCGCCAGGAGCAUCGCUGGGUAGCUAUGUGUGGCAGGGAUAAACGCUGAAAGCAUCUAAGCGUGAAGCCCCCCUCAAGAUGAGAUUUCCCAUUUCUUCGGAAAGUAAGAUCCCUGAAAGAUGAUCAGGUAGAUAGGUUUGGAGUGGAAGUGUAGCGAUACAUGGAGCGGACAAAUACUAAUCGAUCGAGGACUUAACCAAAA